GGGGAUUUAGCUCAGUGGUAGAGCGCUUGCCCAGCAAGUGCAAGGCCCUGGGUUCGGUCCCCAGCUCCA
rnacentral:tRNA from 1 species